AGUGAACGCUGGCGGUAGGCCUAACACAUGCAAGUCGAACGGCAGCACAGUAAGAGCUUGCUCUUACGGGUGGCGAGUGGCGGACGGGUGAGGAAUAGAUCGGAAUCUACUUUUUCGUGGGUGAUAACGUAGGGAAACUUACGCUAAUACCGCAUACGACCUACGGGUGAAAGCAGGGGAUCUUCGGACCUUGCGCGAUUGAAUGAGCCGAUGUCGGAUUAGCUAGUUGGCGGGGUAAAGGCCCACCAAGGCGACGAUCCGUAGCUGGUCUGAGAGGAUGAUCAGCCACACUGGAACUGAGACACGGUCCAGACUCCUACGGGAGGCAGCAGUGGGGAAUAUUGGACAAUGGGCGCAAGCCUGAUCCAGCAAUGCCGCGUGGGUGAAGAAGGCCUUCGGGUUGUAAAGCCCUUUUGUUGGGAAAGAAAAGCAGCAGGUUAAUACCCCGCUGUUCUGACGGUACCCAAAGAAUAAGCACCGGCUAACUUCGUG
rnacentral:rRNA from 1 species